UACGUAGGGUGCGAGCGUUGUCCGGAAUUAUUGGGCGUAAAGAGCUUGUAGGCGGUUUGUCGCGUCUGCUGUGAAAAUCCGGGGCUCAACCCCGGACUUGCAGUGGGUACGGGCAGACUAGAGUGUGGUAGGGGAGACUGGAAUUCCUGGUGUAGCGGUGAAAUGCGCAGAUAUCAGGAGGAACACCAAUGGCGAAGGCAGCUUGCUGGGACGGUACUGACGCUGAGACGCGAAAGCGUGGGGAGCAAACAGG
rnacentral:rRNA from 1 species